rnacentral:lncRNA from 1 species
AGGAAAUGAAAAAUUAACUUCCACUUGCUCAGGAAGAUAAACCAUUAUUUAGGCAACAUAUAGAGUACCUUUCCUCAUGUUGAACAACAUUAGUCUUGCUGUCGUGUGCAGAAGUCUGUCCUCUAGAACCAGAAACAAACUGACCAGGAGCUUCCGAGGGAAAAGGACCCACUCCAUCUCCUUUGAUCAAAUGAUCACCUAC